GGUCUUGUGGCCUAAUGGCAAGGCGUCAGAUUUCGGUCCACUGAAGUCCCUUCCUCUGAAGAUUCUGGGUUCGAUCCCCAGCGAGAUCG